rnacentral:rRNA from 1 species
CCUACGGGGAGCUUCAGUGGGGAAUAUUGCGCAAUGGGCGAAAGCCUGACGCAGCGACGCCUCGUGAGGGAUGAAGGUCUUCGGAUCGUAAACCUCUGUCAGCAGGGAAGAACGGUCACUGUGCUAAUCAACAUUGAAUUGACGGUACCUGCAAAGGAAGCACCGGCUAACUCCGUUCCAGCAGCCGCAGUAAUACGAAGGAUACGAGCGUUAAUAGGAAUUAAUGGGCGUAAAGCGCUAUUAGGAGGUAUGUCAAGUCAAGGGUGAAAUCCGCGCGCUCAACGUGGGAACUGCCUUUGAAACUGGCAAAUUGGAGUGUGUGAGAGGAUAGUGGAAUUCCAGGUGUAGGAGUGAAAUCCGUAGAUAUCUGGAGGAACAUCAGUGGCGAAGGCGACUAUCUGGCACAUAACUGACGCUGAGGAGCGAAAGCGUGGGUAGCAAACAGGAUUAGAUACCCGAGUAGUC